rnacentral:rRNA from 1 species
AAUUCCUCAAUCCUUAUAAACCCCUCACCCCUACUGAAUCAUUUUAUAUUAUUAUAAAAACUAUUAUGCUAGAACUAGUAACAAGAAACCGCCUUUCUCCUUAAUGUAAGCCAGAACCGAAAUAAACCCUAUCGGUAUUUAACGUUCAUGCCUUAAUGAUAGCAACAUACAACUAGAAAAUCCUAUUAACCUCAACGUCAACCUUACACUAGAACAUUACAGGAAAGAUUAAAAGAAAGAGAAGGAACUCGGCAAACCACAGCCCCGCCUGUUUACCAAAAACAUCGCCUCUUGCCCCCCAUAAGAGGUCCAGCCUGCCCAGUGACAUAGUUCAACGGCCGCGGUAUCCUAACCGUGCGAAGGUAGCAUAAUCACUUGUUCUCUAAAUAGGGACUAGUAUCAACGGCACCACGAGGGCUGUACUGUCUCCUCCUUCCAAUCAGUGAAACUGAUCUCCCCGUGAAGAAGCGGGGAUAUACAUAUUAGACGAGAAGACCCCAUGGAGCUUAAAAUUCAAUGUACACCUCUACCCUUAAAAUCAACGUAACCAUAGACACCUGUACAUAAAUUUUGGGUUGGGGUGACCACGGAGUAUAACAUAACCUCCUUGACAAACGGGCCAACGCCCUUAUCUACGAAUUACCACUCUAAGAAUCAAUAAUUUGAUGUUUAAUGACCCGAUUACUCGAUCAACGAACCAAGUUACCCUGGGGAUAACAGCGCAAUCUACUUCAAGAGUCCCUAUCGACAAGUAGGCUUACGACCUCGAUGUUGGAUCAGGGUAUCCUAGUGGUGCAGCCG